UACGAAGGGUGCAAGCGUUACUCGGAAUUACUGGGCGUAAAGCGUGUGUAGGCGGCUAGGUAAGUCGGAUGUGAAAGCCCCGGGCUCAACUCGGGAAGUGCACUCGAUACUGCUUAGCUCGAGUACCGGAGAGGUUGGUGGAAUUCUCGGUGUAGAGGUGAAAUUCGUAGAUAUCGAGAGGAACACCGGCGGCGAAGGCGGCCAACUGGACGAGUACUGACGCUGAGACACGAAAGCGUGGGGAGCAAACAGG
rnacentral:rRNA from 1 species